rnacentral:sRNA from 1 species
UUGACAGGCCUGAAGACUGAUCAGAACAGGUAGGACAGCAAUGCAAGUGUCCCCCACCCAGCCUCACCCUUCCCCACCAAUGGGCCUCAACCCUGCCCUGGAGGGGCCACCUGGAGGGCUGAGAAGGGAGUUCCCUUUCCACGUGCAAUAAAAAGGCUGAA